rnacentral:rRNA from 1 species
AGCGAACGCUGGCGGCAGGCCUAACACAUGCAAGUCGAACGAACUCUUCGGAGUUAGUGGCGGACGGGUGAGUAACACGUGGGAACGUGCCUUUAGGUUCGGAAUAACUCAGGGCAACUUGUGCUAAUACCGAAUGUGCCCUUCGGGGGAAAGAUUUAUCGCCUUUAGAGCGGCCCGCAUCUGAUUAGCUAGUUGGUGAGGUAAAGGCUCACCAAGGCGACGAUCAGUAGCUGGUCUGAGGGGAUGAUCAGCCACAUUGGUAGUGAGACACGGCCCAAACCCCAACGGGAGACAGAUGUGGGGGAUUUUGCGUAGUGGGAGAAUGCAUGGCGCAACCAAGCGGGGUAAAGUAAAGAGGUCUAGGGGUGUUAAAAUUCUUGAGCGGGGGGGGAUAAUGACGGUACCCGAAGAAGAAGCCCCGGCUAACUUCGU